rnacentral:rRNA from 1 species
CAGUAGCCGCGGGAAUACGAAGGGGGCUAGCGUUGUUCGGAAUUACUGGGCGUAAAGGGCGCGUAGGCGGCCAUUCAAGUUAGAUGUGAAAGCCCUGGGCUCAACCUAGGAAUUGCAUUUGAUACUGUUUGGCUUGAGUUCGGGAGAGGUGGGUGGAAUUCCCAGUGUAGAGGUGAAAUUCGUAGAUAUUGGGAAGAACACCAGUGGCGAAGGCGGCUCACUGGACCGACACUGACGCUGAGGCGCGAAAGCGGGGGAGCAAACAGGAUUAGAGACCCCUGUAGUCCCUGUCUCUUAUACA